rnacentral:rRNA from 1 species
GACGUAGGGCGCUAGCGUUGUCCGGAGUUAUUGGGCGUAAAGAGCUCGUAGGCGGCUUGUCGCGUCGACUGUGAAAACCCGCAGCUCAACUGCGGGCCUGCAGUCGAUACGGGCAGGCUAGAGUUCGGUAGGGGAGACUGGAAUUCCUGGUGUAGCGGUGAAAUGCGCAGAUAUCAGGAGGAACACCGGUGGCGAAGGCGGGUCUCUGGGCCGAUACUGACGCUGAGGAGCGAAAGCGUGGGGAGCGAACAGG